AAUUUUUAAUCAUUUUAUUAAAAUUAAUAAAAUUACAUUUAAAUCCUUUUUCAAUUAAAUUAAUUUCAAUUUUAAUAUUCAUUUAAAUAAAUUUAUUGUAAUUCAUUUAUUCUAAAUUAUUAAUUACAUCUUGAUUUGAUUUAAUUUUAAAUUUAAAAUUUUAAAUAUUAUAAAUCUAUAAAAAAUAUUUUUUUAACAAUGAUAUAUAAACUUUUAAAUUAAGUAAAUUAAUUCGUGGAUUAUCAAUUAUUAAACAAAUUCCUCUAAACAAAAUAAAAUACUGCCAAAUUACUUAAGUUUCAUAUAAUAAUAAAUUAAUAUUUUAGUAUUAAAUUACUUAAUUUAUAUAAUAGGGUA
rnacentral:rRNA from 1 species